UACGUAGGGCGCAAGCGUUGUCCGGAAUUAUUGGGCGUAAAGAGCUCGUAGGCGGUUUGUCGCGUCUGCUGUGAAAACUCGAGGCUCAACCUCGGGCUUGCAGUGGGUACGGGCAGACUAGAGUGCGGUAGGGGUGACUGGAAUUCCUGGUGUAGCGGUGGAAUGCGCAGAUAUCAGGAGGAACACCGAUGGCGAAGGCAGGUCACUGGGGCCGCAAC
rnacentral:rRNA from 1 species